AGAGUUUGAUCCUGGCUCAGGAUGAACGCUGGCGGCGUGCUUAACACAUGCAAGUCGAACGAACCUUCGGGUUAGUGGCGGACGGGUGAGUAACGCGUGAGAAUCUGCCCUCAGGAGGGGGAUAACGGUUGGAAACGACCGCUAAUACCCCAUAUGCCGAAAGGUGAAAUGAAUUUCGCCUGAGGAUGAGCUCGCGUCUGAUUAGCUAGUUGGUGAGGUAAUGGCUCACCAAGGCUUCGAUCAGUAGCUGGUCUGAGAGGAUGAUCAGCCACACUGGGACUGAGACACGGCCCAGACUCCUACGGGAGGCAGCAGUGGGGAAUUUUCCGCAAUGGGCGAAAGCCUGACGGAGCAACGCCGCGUGAGGGACGAAGGCCUCUGGGCUGUAAACCUCUUUUCUCAAGGAAGAAGAUAUGACGGUACUUGAGGAAUAAGCCACGGCUAAUUCCGUGCCAGCAGCCGCGGUAAUACGGGAGUGGCAAGCGUUAUCCGGAAUUAUUGGGCGUAAAGCGUCCGCAGGCGGCCUUUCAAGUCUGCUGUUAAAGCGUGGAGCUUAACUCCAUCAUGGCAGUGGAAACUGAUAGGCUUGAGUAUGGUAGGGGCAGAGGGAAUUCCCGGUGUAGCGGUGAAAUGCGUAGAUAUCGGGAAGAACACCAGUGGCGAAGGCGCUCUGCUGGGCCAUUACUGACGCUCAUGGACGAAAGCCAGGGGAGCGAAAGGGAUUAGAUACCCCUGUAGUCCUGGCCGUAAACGAUGAACACUAGGUGUCGGGGGAAUCGACCCCUUCGGUGUCGUAGCUAACGCGUUAAGUGUUCCGCCUGGGGAGUACGCACGCAAGUGUGAAACUCAAAGGAAUUGACGGGGGCCCGCACAAGCGGUGGAGUAUGUGGUUUAAUUCGAUGCAACGCGAAGAACCUUACCAGGGUUUGACAUCCUGCGAACCUCUUAGAAAUUUGAGGGUGCCUUCGGGAAUGCAGUGACAGGUGGUGCAUGGCUGUCGUCAGCUCGUGUCGUGAGAUGUUGGGUUAAGUCCCGCAACGAGCGCAACCCACGUUUUUAGUUGCCAGCAUUUAGUUGGGCACUCUAGAAAGACCGCCGGUGAUAAACCGGAGGAAGGUGUGGAUGACGUCAAGUCAUCAUGCCCCUUACACCCUGGGCUACACACGUACUACAAUGCUACGGACAAAGGGCAGCAAACUCGCGAGAGCUAGCAAAUCCCAUAAACCGUGGCUCAGUUCAGAUCGUAGGCUGCAACUCGCCUACGUGAAGUAGGAAUCGCUAGUAAUCGCAGGUCAGCAUACUGCGGUGAAUACGUUCCCGGGCCUUGUACACACCGCCCGUCACACCAUGGAAGUUGGCCAUGCCCGAAGUCGUUACUCCAACCCUUGUGGAGGAGGACGCCGAAGGUGGGGCUAAUGACUGGGGUGAAGUCGUAACAAGGUAGCCGUACCGGAAGGUGCGGCUG
rnacentral:rRNA from 3 species